UGUCUUGGGUAACAGUGAGGGUGUUAAGGGCACAAUUUACUUCGUCCAAGAAGGAGAUGGUCCAACCACCGUCACCGGAUCCAUCACUGGCCUCAAGCCUGGGCUUCAUGGCUUCCAUGUGCAUGCUCUUGGAAACACCACCAAUGGAUGCAUGUCAACUGGGCCUCAUUUUAAUCCUGCUGGAAAGUUACAUGGUGCUCCUGAA